UCAAAAAAUCAAACCCAUAAAUACUAAAGUUAUCCAAGUAAACUUUCUUUAGAGGAUUCAAGUCUUAGAUGUUAUAGUGUUUGUAAGAUAAAUUUAUAGUCAUCUGACCAAACAGUCAAACUGAAUUACCAGAUGUUGAAUUAUAAGUUUGAAUGUCCCUUUGGUAUCUUUAGCCUCUCUUUUUAAAUAAGUGACUAUUCCAUAGAUAGGAGGGGUAAGAAAAUGUUUGUAAGACAAAAUCAUGAACAGUAUCUUAGUAAAUUAUGUACAUGUAUUACAGAACCAAUGAACACUAGACUGACUUGAUGUUUGUAAGGUAGACUCAAUGAACACUAGACUGACUUGAUGUGUGUAAGGCAGACCCAAUAAACACUAGACUGACUUGAUUUUUGUAAGGUAAACUCAAUGAACACUAGACUGACUUGAUGUUUGUAAGGCAGACCCAAUAAACACUAGACUGACUUGAUGUUUGUAAGGUAGACUCAAUAAACACUAGACUGACUUGAUGUUUGUAAGGUAGACUCAAUGAUCACCAGACUGACUUGAUGUUUGUAAGGUACUCAAUGAACACUAGACUGACUUGAUGUGUGUAAGGUAGAUUCAAUGAACACUAAACUGACUUGAUGUGUGUAAGGUUGACUCAGUGAACACUAGACUGACUUGAUGUUUGUAAGGUAGACUCAAUGAACACUAGACUGACUUGAUGUGUGUAAGGCAGACCCAAUAAACACUAGCCUGACUUGAUGUUUGUAAGGUAGACUCAAUGAACACUAAACUGACUUGAUGUUUAUAAGGUAGACUCAAUAAACACUAGACCGACUUGAUGUUUGUAAGGUAGACUCAAUAAACACUAGACUGACUUGAUGUUUGUAAGGUAGACUCAAUGAACACCAGACUGACUUGAUGUUUGUAAGGUACUCAAUGAACACUAGACUGACUUGAUGUGUGUAAGGUUGACUCAGUGGACACUAGACUGACUUGAUGUUUGUAAGGUAGACUCAAUGAACACUAGACUGACUUGAUCUUUGUAAGGUAGACUCAAUGAACACUAGACUGACUUGAUGUUUGUAAGGUUGACUCAGUGAACACUAGACUGACUUGAUGUUUGUAAGGUAGACUCAAUGAACACUAGACUGACUUGAUGUUUGUAAGGUAGACUCAAUAAACACUAGACUGACUUGAUGUUUGUGAGGUAGACUCAAUAAACAACAUGAUUUUUUUAGUUAGAGUUCCAUAAUAAUUUUAUGACUGUAAGGCAGGUAAAUGUUGUUACAAGGACUUCAGAGCCUUAACACCAGAGUGAGUAAAAUUUGUUAGACUCAAUGAUACCAUACACUGCAGAAUCAUGACUGAAUGUUAAUUAUUCAAAAUAUUUUAAAAUUCAUUAACUUCAAACUGACAUGAAUGGCUGACAAUACUAGCAUCAGACUGAAGAACUGUCAGAACAAACACAAUUAACAGCAGACUGAUCAAAUAAUUUUUUGUACAGGAUCAAGAGUCAUGAAGGAUUUUCUUAAAAUUUCUUUUAUGGAAUGAAUAGAUAAUGUUUACUUUAUUGCCUUCUCACUUAGAUAUUGAGAUCUAAAAGUCAUUAUUUGGUCCCUGAAAUUGCAAAACUUAACUUUUUUCAAUCCUUUCAAAACUAUUUUUAUUUUAUUGAUAAAAGACAAAUUGAUAUAAUCUGGACACUCAAUGCAGAAACAACCUCUGGGCUGUCACUAACAUAUCAUAUGCAUAUGUAAUU